rnacentral:pre_miRNA from 1 species
AGGCUAAGUGUAUACUUCUUUAUGCUUCUAUCGGAUAAGUGUAUACACUUAUCCGAUAGAAGCAUAAAGAAGUAUACUUCUUUAUG